CAAUAGCGUAUAUUAAAGUUGUUGCGGUAAAAAAGCUCGUAGUUGGAUUUCUGUUGAGAGCGACCGGUCCAUACCAUGUAUGCGUAUCUGGCUUGCUCUCGGCAUCCUCUCGAUAGACGUUACUGCGCUUGAUUGCGUGGUGCGGAUCUCGGGACUUUUACUUUGAGGAAAUUAGAGUGCUCACGGCAGGCUUUCGCCAGAAUACAUUAGCAUGGAAUAAUACUAUAGGAUCUUGGUUCUAUUUUGUUGGUUUCUAGAAUUGAGAUAAUGAUUAAUAGGGACAAUUGGGGGCAUUCGUAUCAACACGUCAGAGGUGGAAUUCUUGGAUUGUGUUGCGACGAACUACUGCGAAAGCAUUUGCCAAGGAUGUUUUCAUUGA
rnacentral:rRNA from 1 species